rnacentral:tRNA from 1 species
GCCCGGCUACCUCCGUCGGUAGAGCAUGAGACUCUUAAUGUCAGGGUCGUGGGUUCGAGCCCCACGUUGGGCG